UACGGAGGGUGCAAGCGUUAUCCGGAUUCACUGGGUUUAAAGGGUGCGUAGGUGGAUAAGUAAGUCAGUGGUGAAAUCUUCGGGCUUAACCCGGAAACUGCCAUUGAUACUAUUUGUCUUGAAUACUUUGGAGGUAAGCGGAAUAUGUCAUGUAGCGGUGAAAUGCUUAGAUAUGACAUAGAACACCAAUUGCGAAGGCAGCUUACUACACAGUAAUUGACACUGAGGCACGAAAGCGUGGGGAUCAAACAGG
rnacentral:rRNA from 1 species